AGUGAACGCUGGCGGUAGGCCUAACACAUGCAAGUCGAACGGCAGCACAGUAAGAGCUUGCUCUUACGGGUGGCGAGUGGCGGACGGGUGAGGAAUACAUCGGAAUCUACUUUUUCGUGGGGGAUAACGUAGGGAAAAUUACGCUAAUACCGCAUACGACCUACGGGUGAAAGCAGGGGAUCUUCGGACCUUGCGCGAUUGAAUGAGCCGAUGUCGGAUUAGCUAGUUGGCGGGGUAAAGGCCCACCAAGGCGACGAUCCGUAGCUGGUCUGAGAGGAUGAUCAGCCACACUGGAACUGAGACACGGUCCAGACUCCUACGGGAGGCAGCAGUGGGGAAUAUUGGACAAUGGGGGCAAGCCUGAUCCAGCCAUACCGCGUGGGGGAAGAAGGCCUUCGGGUUGUAAAGCCCUUUUGUUGGGAAAGAAAAGCAGCAAGUUAAUACCCCGCUGUUCUGACGGUACCCAAAGAAUAAGCACCGGCUAACUUCGUG
rnacentral:rRNA from 1 species